CGUCGCGGGUGUUGGGUUUGACAGUGACUGUGAGCUGUGUGUAUUAGCGAGAACCGCCUCUGCCCGUGGGAUCGUACGUGGUCGCAUUGUGUAAGAGGGUUGUAGAAAGUGCUUCAUGUGCAAGUCGGUGCCGCUUUUGUUAGUUCUGCCAGUUCUGCAAUGUCGCCGUGUUCGGUGGACGCUUAUGAGCGAGGGAGCUUCUCCGCGGUGCUUAGUAAGCAACGCCAAUCUCCCGAAGCGUUAGCCGCCAAAACUAUAAGCAAUGAUAACGAGCUGUACGAGC
rnacentral:lncRNA from 1 species